AACGCACAUUGCGCCUGCCGGCAUCCCGGCAGGCAUGCCCGUCCGAGCGUCAUUGCCACCCUCAGGCCCUGCCUGGCGUUGGAGUGCUGCGCUGCAGCCUCCCAAAGACAGCGGCGGCCGCCUCCGCAGCCGAGCGUAGUAAUACACCUCGCUCCGGCCCGCGGGCGCGUUCGGCCGUGAAACUAUACUGUAGUUGACCUCGGAUCGGGUAGGAAUACCCGCUGAACUUAA
rnacentral:misc_RNA from 1 species